rnacentral:lncRNA from 1 species
CGGCCGCUGUGGCGGCGGCUGUUCGCGGGGCGCUGAGGGCGAGCACCCGGACGCGGACCACGCGCCCCUUUCCCCCGGCCACGAGCCCGGGGCCUCCUGGCUUUUUGUAUUUGGAUUUUGUUUUUCUUUCCCCAGCCGAGAGGACGCGGCUGUGACAACGAAGGUUUUGUGCGGACAGUAAUGACCGCACGUUUCCGAUUGCCUGCUGGCAGAACCUACAAUGUCCGAGCAUCAGAGUUGGCCCGAGACAGACAGCAUACAGAGGUGGUUUGCAACAUUCUUCUUCUGGAUAACACUGUACAGGCAUUCAGAGUUAAUAAACAUGAUCAGGGGCAAGUUCUGUUGGAUAUAGUCUUCAAGCAUCUUGAUCUGACUGAGCGAGACUAUUUUGGUUUACAGUUGGCUGAUGAUUCCACAGAUAACCCAGCACUCAGAGCUAUGAGUUUUCCUCUAAGCACAGCUUUCAUCGUUAUCUGAUGACAGGUUAGAAACACAAAGUCUCCCAUCCCGGUCUCCACCUGGAACUCCCAACCAAUCACAAGAGACCCCUGAAGAUGGGCAGCCUCCAGCUUUACCACCCAAACAAUCUAAGAAAAACAGUUGGAACCAAAUUCAUUUUUCACAUUCUCAGCAAGAUCUAGUCAACCAUACUAAUGAAUCCUUUGAUGUGCCCUCUUCCCCUGAAAAGUCCACUCCUAAUGGUGGCAUUCCACAUGAUAACCUUGUUCUAAUCAAAAUGAAACCUGAUGAGAAUGGAAGGUUUGGAUUCAAUGUAAAGGGAGGGUAUGAUCAGAAGAUGCCUGUAAUUGUGUCCCGGGUAGCACCAGGAACACCUGCUGACCUCUGUGUCCCUCGGUUGAAUGAAGGGGACCAAGUGGUACUCAUAAAUGGCCGGGAUAUUGCAGAACACACCCAUGAUCAAGUAGUCUUAUUUAUUAAAGCUAGCUGUGAGAGACAUUCUGGGGAACUUGUGCUCCUAGUUCGACCUAAUGGUAAGUA